GGAGGUGUAACUCAGUGGUAGAGCCUGUGUUUAGUAUGCAAGAGGUCCUGGAUUCAACCCCUAGUACCUCCA
rnacentral:tRNA from 1 species